CGGUAAGUGUCUUGCCGUUUAUUGAUCGUACAAACGGCACUGUUUUUGAUUCUGGAAUGUCAAAUUUUGUGUUCAAGUCUCUGACAAACGGACCGGUCCAAAACUUAUCCUGAAACGGCAUAUAACAUAACCUGAAACUAUAAGCCAAAUUUGGUAAAUAAAAUAUCAGUGUUCAAACCACACGUGGAUUGAAUUUGACUAAUUGACUUGUGGACUUUGUGUGUGUUUUUAAUAGAUUUAACGAGUGCUUAGAAACGACACGAUUUGUUCUCUCCAAUAAGAGAUAUUUGUGUUGGUCUCUAAGG